ACAAUAAGCCUUACAUUCUGAAGACUACAUAUGACCCCAGGCCUCUCUGGUACACCCCAUGGACUCUGAGAACCCUAGCUUUCAUUUUUAUAGGUACAUGUCUAAUCCUCUGCAGUGGCAGAGAGGAGGUUGAAUAAUAAAAAUUGCUCACCUUAUGCACUUCCAAUUUUAGACAAAUGCUAGAAUAGCAUGAGCAGUGUUACAAAUUUGUUGGUAUGUAUUUACAAAUAAUUUCUUACAAGAACAGAUUUGGUGCCAAUGCUUACUACAUUACUGACCUCAUUUAGACAGGGUCUAAGUGGGUAUUUGCAUUGUGCACAUCAUGUCUACUUAAAUCAGAGUUGACAGUGCUGCUUAAAACUAUUUGGCAGUGAGUCUUCACAUAGCUGCUGGAUAACCUUAGUGAAUCUGAAACAGUAGUGCUGUGAGUGAGCCCACAACCUGUGCUACAUUUGUUCAGUAUGGAGAGGAAGGAUGAAGCCCACUUCAGGCUUUCAGCAGUAAUAUCUGUCACCUUGUUGUAUACAAUGCAAUAGUGAUUUUUAAUGAUAUCACUUCUGUGUUUCAGUGUCAUAGAUUAGAAAGUCUGUGGUAUAAAAGUAAUAGCAUAUGCUGGAGUCUUUUGAUGUAGCUGUUAAUCUUUUUGGGCUUAGCCUUGAUUUAGCUCAUGUUAGAUUUUCUAACAAAGGGGGGAAAUCAUCUUUGUAUGAAGAGCUUACCCUGAAGUUUAGUCAUGUUUUUAGAUGUAGCAUAGCUGCUUAUCUUCCAAAACAUUCUAUUCGUUGUUAGCCAUACGUGUGUAAUCUGUUCCCUCUAUCUACCUUUGCUCUUCCAAAAGGCCCUUCUUUAUUUCUUAGUUUUUAAAAUCAGCCAAUAAGAAAAUGAAGUGCCACACUAUCUUAGUAGUGGUUAUAUCAGAACGUAUAAGUGGGAAAGUGUAGAGAUGUCUGCUGUGAUAUUUUAGUGGAAGUGAGAAAGUUGCUUAGAUUUAAUUUCUGCUAGAUAGAUAACUGAUUCUGAAAUUAGCUUCCUGAAAAUUAAAUAUGCUUACAGUAUGGGAAAUGGAAUAUUGGUGUCUCUGAAACUGAUUUUUCUACUGUUAAAAGUGUGACUUUUCCUGAAGGGGGCUAUCUGUUUUAAUCAAUGAUUGUGCAUAUUUUCUAAUGCUUUGCCAAGUUUUGUUCAUCUGUUAACAAUAUCUGUACCCAGGCACUGGGUGCUAUGCUUGGGAGAAAAUGAGAGAGAGAGUGUGUGUGAGAGAGAAGUGUUAUGUGUCUACUUUACACUGGAAGGGUAUGUAUGUAUGCUCUAAUUCCUGUAAUAAAGAAGCUGCUUUGAGUACA